rnacentral:lncRNA from 1 species
CCGCCGCUUUCCAAAGCCAACCCGGGCCAAUGGCGAUCCUCGCAGGGGGAAGGCCGCGCGCGGCCCGCGGAGGUCUUUCUCCGCCUGGAAGCGCCGUCCCAGCCCCGGCGGGGAGGGUGCAGGCCUGCUCCACUCCACUUUAGAAGCCGCGCGCAACUCCACCGCGGCCUGGGGCGUCUCCAACCUGCACCGCUUUUGGCGAGUUUCCCAGUACGCGGUGCCAGGCAAACCCUCUGACCCGAGAACGCUGGUGAAAAUGCAUAUUCCUCUGCAGUUACCAAUACUAACUGGUCUCAUUUCUACUCAACGCGCGUCCUGUGAUUAAGGCUGAGGCAGUGGGUGUCUGGGGAGGAAGUCAGAGCUGGCACCCACAGGACAACCACACGUGCGCACGACACCCCGGUGAGGCCGCACAUCCAGACCAGGAUAUGAGUUAUAAAACCAUACAUCAACAGAUCUAACAAAAUACUGAAUUAGUGGCAAUGGAUACUGAAAAAACUGCCAAACUACACUUCUGUAUCAAACCUGGCCUAUACUUUCCAUAUCCAGCUUUUGACGCUUUUGAAAGAUACGAAGAGCAUUCUGUUACAAGCAAAUAAAGGAGAGCUUCAAUCUUCUUACCAGAAGAACACCCCAAGAAGGAUUCCUUCUAAUCAGCCUAAGACCCAAAAGCUAUUAGCUAAAAAGAAAGGGAAAAGGAAAGAAAUUAAAGACUGUGAACUAACUUGUUUGCUAUGUUGCAUUAGUUUGGGAAGAAAUACAUUUUUAAUGUGCAUGUAAUAUGUGCCAGGCACUCUUAAGCCUCACAGUAACCUAAUGAUUUUGUAUAGUUUAAUUCCAUUUCACAAGUAAGAAAACUGACUGGAGGGAGAGGGGGAAGUAUUCUGUCCAAGUUCACACAGCCAGGAGGUAGGAAGGUAGGAAAGUCUUGAACUUUGUAAAAUGGCAGAAAAUUUCCAAUUUAAGUGAAAGGUGGAUAAUAUGAGUAAGAUCAGAAGAUGAAAUAAGUAACAUUAACUGUUGGGAAAACAUGUCUUAGGAGAAAAUAAUUCAGGGAACUAGAGCUAUUUAAGAUUUUUUUUUUUUUUGAGAUGGUGAAACCCCAUCUCUACUAAAAGUACAAAAAAAUUAGCUGGGCGUGGUAGCGGGCAUCUGUAAUCCCAGCUACUCGGGAGGCUGAGGCAGAGAAUUGCUUGAACCUGGGAGGUGGAGGAUGCAGUGAGCAGUGAUCGCACCACCACACUCCAGCCUGGGCAACAGAGCGAGACUCCAUCUCAAAAAAAAAAAAAAUAUUUAGAAGGAAAGGAUAAACUCCCCAACAUUAAAGCAUGGGAUCUGAACAAUGUUUCUAAAAGCAUAAUCCAUGGACAAUCUAUUUUGAAUAAUGUGGGGCUUGCUUAAAAUGCGGAGUCUUGGUUUCUAGUCUAGAAUCAGAAUAUGUGUAAUGGGCUGGAUCUGAAGCUCCCAGAUGAUCUGUAUGCAUAUGUAAGAUGGAAAUCCACUGUUUGGGGGCCAGACACAGUAGCUCACGCCUGUAAUCCCAGCACU